GAUGAACGCUGACAGCAUGCUUAACACAUGCAAGUCAACUGUGGCGGACGGGUGAGUAACGCGUAAAGAACUUGCAUCCCGGAUAGGGACAACAUUUGGAAACGAAUGCUAAUACCUGAUACUGUGAGAGAGCUUUGCGUCCCAUUAGCUAGUUGGAGAGGUAACGGCUCACCAAGGCGAGGAUGGGUAGCCGGCCUGAGACGGUGAUCGGCCACACGGGGACAGAGACACUGCCAUUACGCCUACUGGAGGAAGGAGUGGGGAAUAGUGGACAAUGGACCAAAGUCUGAUCCAGGAAUUCGGUGUGCACGAUGAAGUUUUCGGAAUGUAAAGUGCUUUCAGUUGGGAAGCGGUACCAACAGAAGAAGUGACGGCUAAAUACGUGCCAGCAGCCGCGGUAAUAC
rnacentral:rRNA from 1 species